CUGCAGUACUUCGAUCUGUUGACUGCAAGCAAUGAGAAGAGAAUGACGUCGAUGUAGCAGAUCUACAACUCACUGGGGUUAGUGGGCCAGCUCCACAAUACUUUCACCUAGGGGGCUGAAAUGAAUGAGAAAGAACAAAUCAAUUAUGCCAGCUUCUGCAUGAUCUCUUGAAGUUAGACAUGCUGGAUGAUCUCAAAUAUAAGUGACACAAACAGAUUCAGAAAACAAGAAAAAUAAUUUAUUUCGUAGCUAGCAUCUGUGAUGGAAAAUAAGUGAAACAGAGAAUAAUCAGAAAGCAUGUGUGAUGCAGCCUCACAAUUGGUACCAUCACUAAUAAAUAGCUAGGAACAUAACCACUGCACAGAAUCACCAAUCGCCACCAUAAGAAAAUAAAGAAGCUUAUUUUUAGCUUUCAACACUUGCCAACUUAUGUACAGAUCAGCUCAGCAUCCUCUAAUAUAUCUCCCAACUUAUGUACAGAUAAUUAAGUUGUUUCAAAUUAUUGUUUCAGGCUAUGCAAAUAAAUUCAUGGCUAGUAAAAUUUAAAGCAGCUUUCCUUAAAAAGCAGAAGAUGGCUGUACCUAUCCUGCAAGUUAUAUGCCCAUUGCUUACAAAAAUAACUAAUGAAGAUGAUGUUUUCUAUUCUAUAUAAAUGGGCAGCAAGCAAUCAACCUUUUCCAUAAUUGUUUAGGUUGGAAGGUAAAUUUGGCAAGACAAUAAAUUAAUUCAUUGGUUCUUGCAGGAGAAGUCAUAUGACGCUCUUGCAGCAUUCUGCGAGGACAUGGGUGCAGAUAUCCUACCAUAUCUAGAGCCCCUGCAGAUUGGUUGCCUUUGUAGAGUAGUACUCGGAACUUGCAAGAGACGUGUGGCAUGUAUGUAGUAAUUCUGCAUAGCAUACUACUUGGCUUCUAACAGAAUUAAUCUGUACAGAAUCUGCUAUUAUGUUUUUCCCCUACAAUAAAGCAAGUUCCGAAACCCACAAAUCCAAGUCUUAAAAUAAAGAAAUUUCUUUAACCUAUCAAUUGUGCUACUCAAGAAAUUUUUACCUACAAUCUGAGCUCCAAACACAAUUAGGGUAGAUGGAUCAUUUUACAAAUUCCCAAAUACCAGAACAUUGAGUUGAGAUAAAUAAAAAGAAAAUGGCAUUGCAAUCUGAAGGCUUCAAGCUCGGCACCAAAAUAAGUUCCCUUUCUAUCAACUACCUCACUAGUCGAAACAAGCCGAAAUCCAGGCAAUUCAAACUCUAAGUUAAACAUGUUACCCAAUCUCACCAUUUCAGACGUCUAUACAAGUUUAUGGUUGUGACUUGAAUAAGAUAACAAAAAAAUGGAGUCUAUCAAAAUACCAGAACAUGUAGAGUUUUUUUUAGAGCAGAACAUGUAGAAUUGAGAUAUCACUCAGCAUUACACGAGUGACCAUAUGAUUAUCUUGACUCAUCAGAAAAAAGAAACGAAAGCCUAAAUUCUCAGAUAGCAAAUGGCUGUCAAUCCAAUUUACGCACAAGCCUCAAAUAAAGCAAAUCCAUUAACAUGACUCCUCUGCUAUUCAGGAAUUUUUCACCUACAAUCUGAGCUCCAACGCAUCUACGGGAAGGGAGCAACCCAAAAGAAAAGAUGCAGGGAAGGGAGGCACCUACCAAUGGAUCUGCAGCAGAAACUCAAAUCGAAGUCACUGAGAUGCCACACUGCGUGCUCCACCUUGGCUUGCUCCACGGGUGGUGGUUAGCAGCUGGAGGCACCGGGCCCUAGCUUCCUGGUGGACCAGCAGCCAGGUUCUACGGUGGCAGAUGGGCUGGUGGCUGCCUGCGCCGGUAGAGGGCGGGGCUGUGGCAGACCGGAGCAGUCCCCGAUGGCUGGAGCAGGAGGAGAUUUGGGGCACUGAAGCAGGAGGAGAUUUGGAGCACUGGAGAGCAGUGUUGUGUGUUUUGGGGCGGCUGAGCGGGCGAGGCGAGAGUUAGGGGCAGGGCGGGCUAGUUUUCAGGGGAGCUAGAGGGCGGCGGCGGGCAGGACGAAUUUUGGGUGGGUCGGCAGCGCGAUUUGGGAGAAGGGAGAGGCGCGCGGCGGCCGCUAGCGGUCAGGUUCGGCGCCGCGCUUUUUUGGAUUGGGAUUUGGGGGAAGGAGG
rnacentral:lncRNA from 1 species